UACGAAGGGUGCAAGCGUUACUCGGAAUUACUGGGCGUAAAGGGCGGGUAGGCGGCCACCGCAAGUCAGUUGUGAAAUCUCUGGGCUUAACCCAGAAAGGUCAACUGAUACUGCGGGGCUAGAGUGCAGAAGGGGCAACUGGAAUUCUCGGUGUAGCGGUGAAAUGCGUAGAUAUCGAGAGGAACACCUGCGGCGAAGGCGGGUUGCUGGGCUGACACUGACGCUGAACUGCGAAAGCUAGGGGAGCGAACGGG
rnacentral:rRNA from 1 species